AGGGUGCAGGGCGGAUGCCUUGGCACUAGGAGCCGAUGAAGGACGUGAUAAGCUGCGAUAAGCUUCGGGGAGUUGCACGUAAACUUUGAUCCGAAGAUUUCCGAAUGAGGAAACUCACUUAGAGUAAUGUCUAAGUAUCAUUAAGUGAAUACAUAGCUUAAUGAGGGGAACUCAGGGAACUGAAACAUCUAAGUACCUGAAGGAAGAGAAAGAAAUUCGAUUCCGUAAGUAGCGGCGAGCGAACGCGGAUUAGCCCAAACCAAUAAAGUUUUCUUUAUUGGGGUUGCGGACAUAUCAUAACGAAGAGGUAUCGUAAUUGAAGAGGUUUGGAAAGACCCACCACAGAAGGUAAUAGUCCUGUAUGUUAAACGAGAAGACUUCAGAUAUGAUCCAGAGUACCACGGGACACGUGAAACCCUGUGGGAAGCAGGAGGGACCACCCUCCAAGGCUAAAUACUACCUAGUGACCGAUAGCGUAUAGUACCGUGAGGGAAAGGUGAAAAGAACCCCGGGAGGGGAGUGAAAUAGAACCUGAAACCCUGCACUUACAAGCUGUGGAAGCACAUUUCUUGUGUGACCGCGUACUUUUUGUAGAACGGGCCAACGAGUUACGUUAAGUAGCAAGGUUAAGCACUUAAGGUGCGGAGCCGUAGCGAAAGCGAGUUUUAACUGAGCGUUCAGUUACUUGACGUAGACCCGAAACCGGGCGACCUACCCAUGAGCAGGAUGAAGCGAAAGUAAAAUUUCGUGGAGGUCCGAACCCACGAGCGUUGAAAAGCUCGGGGAUGACUUGUGGGUAGCGGUGAAAUUCCAAUCGAGCCCGGAGAUAGCUGGUUCUCCCCGAAAUAGCUUUAGGGCUAGCCUCAAGGUGAGAGAUACGGAGGUAGAGCACUGAAUGUCCUAGGGGGUAUUGCACCUACCGAAGACUAUCAAACUCCGAAUGCCGUCAUCUUAUACUUGGGAGUCAGACUGUGGGUGAUAAGAUUCAUAGUCGAAAGGGCAACAGCCCAGAUCGUCAGCUAAGGUCCCUAAAUGUAAGUUAAGUGGUAAAGGAUGUGGGAUUGCACAGACAACCAGGAUGUUGGCUUAGAAGCAGCCACUCAUUCAAAGAGUGCGUAAUAGCUCACUGGUCGAGUGAUCCUGCGCCGAAGAUUUCCGGGGCUAAAACUUACUACCGAAGCUACGGCAUCAGUAAUGAUGGGUAGGGGAGCUUCCCAUACGGGUUGAAGCAUGACCGUAAGGACAUGUGGACAGUAUGGGAGUGAGAAUGUUGGCAUGAGUAGCGAGAUGUGGGUGAGAAUCCCACAGGCCGUAAACCCAAGGUUUCCAGGGGAAGGUUCGUCCGCCCUGGGUUAGUCGGGACCUAAGCUGAGGCCGAAAGGCGUAGGUGAUGGACAACAGGUUGAUAUUCCUGUACUACCGAUAACCGUUUGAGAGAAGGGAUGACACAGUAGGAUAAGCUAAGCACACUGUUGGUUAUGUGUGCCCAAGCAUUGAGGCAGUCAAAGUAGGCAAAUCCGCUUUGAUAAUGCUGGGAUGUGAUGGGGAGCGAAAUUUAGUAGCGAAGUAGCUGAUUUCACACUGUCAAGAAAAGUCUCUAUCGAGGUUAAAGGUACCCGUACCGCAAACCGACACAGGUGGGUGAGGAGAGUAUCCUAAGGCCAGCGAGAGAACUGUUGUUAAGGAACUCGGCAAAAUGACCCCGUAACUUAGGGAUAAGGGGUGCCACCAUCAGGUGGCCGCAGAGAAUAGGCCCAAGCGACUGUUUACCAAAAACAUAGGUUUCUGCUAAGUCGCAAGACGAUGUAUAGGAGCUGACGCCUGCCCGGUGCUGGAAGGUUAAGGGGAUCUGUUAGAGCAAUCGAAGCAGUGAACUUAAGCCCCAGUAAACGGCGGCCGUAACUAUAACGGUCCUAAGGUAGCGAAAUUCCUUGUCGGGUAAGUUCCGACCCGCACGAAAGGCGUAACGAUUUGGGCACUGUCUCAACAACAGACUCGGUGAAAUUGUAAUUCCGGUGAAGAUGCCGGAUACCUGCGACAGGACGGAAAGACCCCAUGGAGCUUUACUGUAGCUUGACAUUGGGUCUUGGUACUACAUGUACAGGAUAGGUGGGAGGCUUUGAAACCAGGACGCCAGUUUUGGCGGAGCCAUCCUUGGGAUACCACCCUUGUAGUACUGGGACUCUAACCAUAGGCCAUGAAUCUGGUCUUGGGACACUGUCAGGUGGGCAGUUUGACUGGGGCGGUCGCCUCCCAAAAGGUAACGGAGGCGCUCAAAGGUUCUCUCAGUACGGUCGGAAAUCGUACGUAGAGUGUAAAGGCAAAAGAGAGCUUGAUUGCAAGACAUACAGGUCGAGCAAGGAUGAAAAUCGGACUUAGUGAUCCGGUGGUUCUGCGUGGAAGGGCCAUCGCUC
rnacentral:rRNA from 1 species